GCAGGUCGACGAUUCGCGUGUAGCAGUGAGAUGCGUAGAGAUCGGGAGGAAUACCAGUGGCGAAGGCGGCCUUCUGGACUGACACUGACACUGAGGUGCGAAAGCGUGGGUAGCAAACAGGAUUAGAUACCCUGGUAGUCCACGCCGUAAACGAUGUCGACCAGCCGUUGGGUGCCUAGCGCACUUUGUGGCGAAGUUAACGCGAUAAGUCGACCGCCUGGGGAGUACGGCCGCAAGGUUAAAACUCAAAUGAAUUGACGGGGGCCCGCACAAGCGGUGGAGCAUGUGGUUUAAUUCGAUGCAACGCGAAGAACCUUACCUACUCUUGACAUCCUGCGAACUUGGUAGAGAUACCUUGGUGCCUUCGGGAGCGCAGAGACAGGUGCUGCAUGGCUGUCGUCAGCU
rnacentral:rRNA from 1 species